GAUCCUGGCUCAGGAUGAACGCUGGCGGCGUGCCUAACACAUGCAAGUCGAGCGAAGCGAUCGAGAUGAAGUUUUCGGAUGGAUUCCUGAUCGACUGAGCGGGCGCACGGGUGAGUAACGCGUAUCCAACCUGCCUACCACUUGGGGAUAACCUUGCGAAAGUAAGACUAAUACCCAAUGACAUCCCACGAAGACAUCUGAAUGGGAUUAAAGAUUUAUCGGUGAUGGAUGGGGA
rnacentral:rRNA from 1 species